rnacentral:rRNA from 1 species
UACGGAGGGUGCAAGCGUUAUCCGGAUUCACUGGGUUUAAAGGGUGCGUAGGCGGGUUGGUAAGUCCGGGGUGAAAUCUCCGAGCUUAACUCGGAAACUGCCGUGGAUACUAUCAAUCUUGAAUAUCGUGGAGGUAAGCGGAAUAUGUCAUGUAGCGGUGAAAUGCUUAGAUAUGACAUAGAACACCAAUUGCGUAGGCAGCUUACUACACGAUCAUUGACGCUGAGGCACGAAAGCGUGGGGAGCAAACAGG